GACGAACGCUGGCGGCGUGCUUAACACAUGCAAGUCGAACGGAAAGGCCCUGCUUUUGUGGGGUGCUCGAGUGGCGAACGGGGGAGUAACACGUGAGUAACCUGACCUUGACUUUGGGAUAACUUCAGGAAACGGGGGCUAAUACCGGAUAGGAUCUCCUGCUGCAUGGUGGGGGUUGGAAAGUUGCGGCGGUUGGGGAUGGACUCGCGGCUUAUCAGCUUGUUGGUGGGGUAGUGGCUUACCAAGGCUUUGACGGGUAGGCGGCCUGAGAGCGUGACCGGCCACCUUGCGCCUGCGGUACGGCCCAGACUGCAACGUUGGGCAGCAGUGGGGAAUAUUGCCCAAUGGGCGCACGCCUGAUGCAGCAGCGCUGCGUGCGGGAUGCCGGUCUUCUGGUUGUGAACCGCUUCCGCCUGUGACGACGCGUGACUGACGGUAAUGGGUAAAGAAGCACCGGCUAACUACGUG
rnacentral:rRNA from 1 species